rnacentral:rRNA from 1 species
CAGUCGCCGCGGGAAUACGGAGGGUGCAAGCGUUAAUCGGAAUUACUGGGCGUAAAGCGCACGCAGGCGGUCUGACAAGUCAGAUGUGAAAUCCCCGGGCUUAACCUGGGAACUGCAUUUGAAACUGUCAGGCUGGAGUCUUGUAGAGGGGGGUGGAAUUCCAGGUGUAGCGGUGAAAUGCGUAGAGAUCUGGAGGAAUACCGGUGGCGAAGGCGGCCCCCUGGACAAAGACUGACGCUCAGGUGCGAAAGCGUGGGGAGCAAACAGGAUUAGAUACCCGCGUAGUCCCUGUCUCUUAUAC